CCAAUAGCGUAUAUUAAAGUUGUUGCAGUUAAAAAGCUCGUAGUUGAAUUUUAGGCCUGGCCGGGCGGUCCGUCUUUGGCGAGUACUGUCUUGUUGUCGGGUCUUCCUUCUGGUGAACCAGUAUGUCCUUUAUUGGGUGUGUUGGGGAGCCAGGACCAUUACCUUGAAAAAAUUAGAGUGUUUAAAGCGGGCUAUUGCUUGAAUAGAUUAGCAUGGAAUAAUAGAAUAGGACGUUGUGGUUCUAUUUUGUUGGUUUCUAGGACCACCGUAAUGAUUAAUAGGGAUAGUUGGGGGCAUUAGUAUUCAAUUGUCAGAGGUGAAAUUCUUGGAUUUAUUGAAGACUAACUAUUGCGAAAGCAUUUGCCAAGGAUGUUUUCAUUAAUCAAGAACGAAAGUUAGGGGAUCGAAGACGAUCAGAUACCGUCGUAGUCUUAACCAUAAACUAUGCCGACUAGGAAUCGGGCGUCGUUAUUUUAAUGACUCGCUCGGCGCCUUAUG
rnacentral:rRNA from 1 species